CCCACUGAAGCAAGACCCAGGACAAGUUUGGCCCCAUGUGGUUGCCCCCUGAAGAGUGGCUGUGCCCCUGUCCCAUUACUACUCUGAUCCUCAUCCUGGGAGCAGGAGGAGGGCUGCGGGUUGGUGUGAUGCUGGUCAGCAGGGUUCUCCCUUGCGGAAAGGGUAAGUGGCGGCCACUCUAGCUUUCGCUGGCUGGAGCCUAGGCAGUAAUUCUCUUCUCGCAGGGACAGAGAGGAGCUACCUGCAGGUGAUUAUAGGAGAUGGUGACCACAGCAUCUCCCUGGGGAGCCUGCCGUGGGAAGCGCUCCUCCUGAUUUGCAGUAGCCUCCACUCCUGCUUUGGAACCAUGCCUCAGAUCUUGCUGUCUUCCUAAAAUGCUGGAAGCAUAUAGACCCAUCAGCCUCUAACUACCCUUUUGGUUGUCCCUCUGCAGGCUGCUCCUCAAGCCCAGGUCUGCUGCCUUUGCCUAGUCUCAGGAUGUCCAACUCCCCUGACUUUGCUAAGAAGCUCUAUGUCCUCGGCACUCAAAGUGUGGUCCCCCAGCCAGCAGCAUCAACAUCAUCUGGGAGCUUGAUAGAAAUGCAGAACCUCAGGCCCCCUCCCAAGCUGCUGAGAGGGAAUGUGCAUUUUAACAAGAUACCCAGGACCCAGCAAAAAGGUACCUUCUAUGAACCAGAAGACCAGCCCUCACCAGAUGCUGAAUCUUCUUUGAUCUUGGACUUCUCAGCCUCUGGAACUCAUCAAAUCUCUGUAAUACUUUACUGGAAAAUGCUGGGGUUCUAG
rnacentral:lncRNA from 13 species